UAGCAGAGUGAUUUUUUUACAAAAAUUGUAAGUGAGUCAGGGAUAUACUGGAUGAAGAGAUAGUAGGAACUGCCGAUGCUGGAGUCUGAGAUAACAAGGUGUGGAGCUGGAGAAAUACAGCACGCCAAGUAGCAUCAGAGGAGCAGGAAGGCUGACGUUUCAGGUCUGGGCCCUUCUUCAUAAAUACUGUAUGAAUGUGGUUUUUUUUAAUACCGUUACUCUCAGGACAUUGGCGUCGGUGGCUGGGGCUGCAUUUUUAAUGCCUGCACCUAGUUGCCCCUUGAGAAUGUGGUGGUGAGCUGCCUUCUUGAACGGCUGCACAAGGGAGAUCCACAAUGCCCUGGGGAUGUGGGGGUGGGGGUGGAGUUCCAGGAUUUUGAUCCAGCGACAAUGAAGAAACAGCAAUACAUUUCUAAGUCAGGAUGGUGAGUGGCUUGAAGAGGAACUUGCAGUUGGUGGUGUUCCUGUGUAUCUGUUGCCCUUAUCCUUAUCUAUGUAAGUAGUUAUGAGUUUGGAAAGUUCUGUCUGAGGAGCCUCAGUGAAUUUCUGCAAUGCAUACGACACUGCUGCUACUGAGCAUCUAUGGUGAAGGGAAUAGAUGCUCUAGAUGUGAUGCCAAUCAAGUGGGCUGCUUUAUGCUGACAAGCUUCUUGAGUGUUGUUGGGGCUGCACCCAACCAGGCAAGUGGGGAGUAUUCCAUCCCACUCCUGACUUGUGCCUUGUAGAUGGGGAACAGGCUUUGAGGAGUCAGGAGAUGAGUUACUCACCGCAGUAUUCCUAGCUUUUGAUCUGCUCGUGUAGCCACUAUGUUUAUGUUACAAGUCCAGCUGAGUUUCUGGUCAAUAGUAACCCCAAGGACGUUGAUAGUGGGGGACUCAGUGAUGGUAACACCAUUGAAUGCCAAGGAGAUGUAGUUAGAUUGUCUCUUAUUGGAGAUAUCUUUGCCCUGGCAUUUGUUUGGUGCAAAUGUUACUUGCCACUUUUAGCCCAAACCUGGAUAUUGUCCAGAUCAUGUUACAUUUGAAUAUGGACUGCUUCAGUAUCUGAGGAGUCACGAAUGGUGCUGAAUAUUGUGCAAUGAUCGGUGAACAUCCCCACUUCUGACCUUAUAAUGGAGGGAAGGUCAUUGAUGAAGCAGCUGAAGAUGGUUGGGCCUAGGACAUGACCCUGAGGAACUCCUGCAGAGUUGUCCUGGAGCUGAGAUGACUGACCUCCCACAACCACGACCAUCUUCCUAUGUGUCAGGUAUGACUCCAACCACCAGAGCGUUUGUCCCCUGAUACCCAUUGAUUCCAGUUUUGGUAGGGCUCCUUGAUGCCACACUCAGUCAAAUACAGCCUUGAUAUCAAGGACUGUCACUCUCACCUCACCUCUGGAAUACAGCCCUUUUGUCCAUGUUUGAACCAAGGCUGUAAUGAGAUCAGGAGCUGAGUGGCCCUGGCGGAACCCAAACUGGGCGUCACUCAGCAGGUUAUUGCUGAGCAGGUGCUGCUUGAUAGCGCUGUUACUGACACCUUCCAUCACUUUACUGAUGAUCGAGAGGAGACUGAUGGGGCAGUAAUUGGCCGGGUUGGAUUUGUCCUGCUUUUUAUGUACAGGACAUACCUGGGCAAUUUUCCACAUUGUUGGGUAGAUACCAGUUUUAUAACUGUACUGGAAGAGUAAUGUAGUAAUGUCGCUGGUGAGUAAUUCAGAGCCCCAGGCUAAUGUUCUGACAUCACAAGCUCAAAUUCCACCAUGGCCUCUUAUGAAACAUAAAUUCUAUAUGAUAAAAUAAAAUAGAAUAGUUUUUAUUGUCACAUGCGCUUGAAUGAGUGCAGAAAAAGUUUGUCAUGUCACCUCUCAGCGCCAUCUUAGGUACAGAGUACCUAGGUACAGAUACUUUAAGGGUUAUUACAGAAUUGAAAUUGUAGAAAAAUAGACAAGCAUGGAAUACAGAGUUUAAAAAGUCUUGAAUGAUAAUAGCAAGUAUCUUUAAAGUACUCAAGUUGUAAUCGUUUUUCACUGAGUCCAUGUCCACCAGGCUUCAGAACAUGAGACCUCGCUGUCUCCACAGGUUAUCCUUAGUCCAGGACUCAACUCCCCGGCCGGCCUGAAGUUGCUCUGUUCUCACUCCGGCCGCGACUGGCUUCUGGGACUUCUGGGACAACGUGCUUUCAGUUGUUUCAGCGGCGGGAGUCCGGGAGGAAGCGCGAGGGCAGCCUGGGAAGAUUCGUCCUGAAUUUCACCCCGAUGAAUGCAUAUAAAAUUGGAUUAAUGCAGCUGUGCAGGAAUCCCAAACUUCGAGUUCCCAAUAGAGUUCGGUCAAUAUGAUUACGCUUCUCACAAGUCUCAGCAAUGAGUUGGCUCCUCAUCAGUGUGUCGAAGAACACAGUAAUAUUGUGUGGGAACCAACAAAUGAGAAAAGCCACCACCACCACGAUGAUGACUUUCAUGGCUUUAUAUUUCUGUGAUCCCUUCGUUUGAAACAGUUUCUGGAUUGUCACACUGUAACAGAAAAUCAUGAUGGCGAGAGGGAUGACAAACCCAAUAAAAUGCCGCAAAAAUCUGGUGACUAUUCUCCACCUUUCAGCUAAUUCCCCAACAAGCAUCUCAUAACACAUCUGUCUUGUGGAACCAGGUGGAGUAAAUUCACCUUUGUAUAAAACUGGUAAAGACAAGACAAAAGCCAUCAACCAAACAGCAGCACAAACCAGCUGAGAUAUAAAUGGUCUCUUCUGCUUGUGGGUCUGUGUAGCGUAGACAAUGGACAGAAAACGAUCAAUACUGAUACAAGCCAGCAAUAAAAUCCCACUGUAGAAGUUAAUCUCCUGUAACAUGCUGAUAAUUUUACACAUGGCAUCACCAAACAUCCAGCCAGAUACGGCAUCCACUGCCCAAAAAGGCAAGGUCACAGCAAAGAGCAAAUCAGCCACUGCCAGAUGUAGCAGGCCAUCAUGAAGGACCAGACAUGCACUGCUUGGAGACGAGGCCUUCCCUACCAUGACCGACAAUGCCUGUCUAUCACCCAAACACACAAGUACAACUGCUUACAAUGAGAGCCACACAGAUAUAAUGGAGCAAAUAAUCAGCAUCCUUAAGUGAUGGUUCUAUGAGCUGAACCAGUGACAACGAGACUCUUGACAGAAUUUCAGUGGAAGGUCAUGAUGGUCUGCCCUGCUGCCCAUAACCUCAGUGUUAGGAGGACUCAGCAAUUACCACCAGCCAGAUGGAUACCAUCUCGGGAGGAUGAUGAGGAAGGGGGGAGGCAAGGAGGAAGACGCCAGGAAACUACGCCCCCACUCUUUGUUCCAGCUGGCUGUCUUGACAUAUCAUCCAAUAACUGCUUGUUAACUCAGCUGGAGUUCUGUACAAACCGCUUAUGCAUUUGUGCAGAGAGAGAAAUAAUGCAGCAGAUACCAAGGAGUGGGCCCUCUACAGGCAAAGUGGUGGACUAAUCAUCUUCAAAGCUGUCGCUUUGAUCACUUUUGUAAGUAAAGCUUAAAAACAAAGUUCAGAAUUGUAUUGUUCGUCAAUUAGUUACUAAGUCACUCGUUCUUUAUCAUUUAUUUUUUUUAUUUGCCAUUUUGCUGAUAGACAUCAACCAAUGUCACAAAGACUUUACACGCCAGAUGAGGAAGAGGAUGAAGAUCUCGUAUAUUGUGAAUCAUAACUUCGCUUCAUGAUGCCUUUUGAAGCCAAGAGCUUGAACAGAUUCCUCCUGAAUUUCACCCCGAUAAACCCAUAUACAAAUGGGUUAAUGCAACUGUGCAGGAAUCCCAAACUUCGAGUUCCAAUUAAAGUUUGAUCAAUACGAUUACGCUUCUCACAAGUCUCAGCAAUGAGUUGGCUCCUCAUCAGUGUGUCGAAGGACACAGCAAUAUUGUGUGGGAACCAACAAAUGAGAAAAACCAAUACCACCACGAUGAUGAUUUUCAUGGCUUUAUGUUUCUGGAAUCCCUUCGUUUGAAACAGUUUCUGGAUUGUCACACUGUAACAGAAGACCAUGACAGCCAAUGGGAUGAGAAAUCCAAUAAAAUGCCGCAAAAAUCUGGUCGUCACUCUCCAAAUUGCUGCUGAUUCCCCAUCAAGCAUCUCAUAACACAUCUGUCUUUUGGAACCAGGUGGAGUAAAUUCACCUUUGUACAAAAUUGGUAAAGAUAAGACAAUAGCCAUCAACCAAACAGCAGCACAAACCAGCUGAGAUAUAAAUGGUCUCUUCUGCUUGUGGGCCUGUGUAGCGUAGACAAUGGACAGAAAACGAUCAAUACUGAUACAAGCCAGCAAUAAAAUCCCACUGUAGAAGUUAAUCUCCUGUAACAUGCUGAUAAUUUUACACAUGGCAUCACCAAACAUCCAGCCAGAUACGGCAUCCACUGCCCAAAAAGGCAAGGUCACAGCAAAGAGCAAAUCAGCCACUGCCAGAUGUAGCAGGAUGUGGAGUUUGCUGGCUAAGUUGGCAUUUAUUGCUAAGAGUGGGAAUCUGGAGUCAUAUGUGAGCCAGGAUAAGGAACAGCAGAUUUCCUUCCCUAAAGUACAUUCAUAAACCAGAUGGAUUUUUAUGACAAUUGACAAUGGCUACAUGGCCAUCAUUCAUCCAGCUUCUUAUUGAAGUCAAAUUUCACAUUCUGCCAUGAUGGGAUUUGAAACCAUCUUCCCCAGAACAUUAAUCUAGGAUUCUAGAUUGCUAGACCAGAGACAUUAGCACUACACCACCUCCUUCACAUUUGUGUGAUUAUAUAUCUCCAUCUCCCACAGUCAUCGACAUUUCUCAUAGUAUAGGGGAUUCCUAUGUUCUGGAACCUGUGCAAAAGACAUGUGGCCAGUCAGAAGAUUGGACAGAAUCUAAAAAACAGCAAAGAAUGACCAAAAACCUAAUAAUUCGUGAAAAAUUUGAGUAGGAAGGAAAGCUAGUCAGAAAUAUUAAAAAAAGAUUGUCAGAAUUUCUAUGAAUUGGCAAAGUGAGCACUGGUCUGUAGAAAGUGAGUUUGGAGAAUUAGUAAUGGAAAGUAAUGGAAAGUAAGGAAAUGGCAGAUGACUUGAACAGGUAUUUUACACCAGUCUUUGCUGUAGAGGAUGCAAGUGACACCCCAAGAAGCAUCAAUAAAUUACAAAAUGGAAGUGGCAGAGGAACUCGUCGAAGGCUGAGGGGUGACCUUAUACAGGUUUAUAAAAUCAUGUGUGGCGUGGAUAAGGUAAAUAGCCAAGGUCUUUUUCCCAGGGUGGAAGAAUCCAAAGCUAGAGGGCAUAGGUUUAAGGUGAAAGGGGAAAGAUUUAAAAAGGGCACGAGGGGUAACUUUAUCACACAGAGGGUGGUGCGCGUAUGGAACGAGCUGCCAAAGGAAGUGGUGAGGCAGGUAUAAUGACAACAUUUCAAAGGCAUCUGGAUGGGUACUUGAAAAGACAGGGUUUAGAGAGAUUUGAGCCAAAUGCUGGAAAAUGGAUCUGGGUUAGAUUGAGAUGUGGACAAGUUGGACUGAAGGGUCUGUUUCCGUGCUGUAUCAUUCUAUGACACUAUGACUCCAUAACUCAAGAAAAUCAUAAUCACUAGAGAAAUGGUACUGAGUACAUUGUUGGAGCUGGGGUCUGAUGAGUGCUUGUGUCCUGUUGGACUUCAUCCUAGGGUCUUAGAAGACGUGGCUGAUGAGAUGGUUGUUACAUUGGUUUUAAUUUUUCAAAAUUCACUUGAUUUGGAUAGUCUCAUUACAUUGAAGACAGAAAGCAGGAAACUAUAGGCUUAACUUCUGUCAUAGGUAAAAAUUAUUGUUUGGAAAACUUAAGUUUGAAGAAUUGUGAAGAAAGAAAUGUGCUUCAAGUUUUGUGGAAGUCCCUUGAGGGCUCCCUUUAAAAGAGGUUAUUGAAGUGAAUUUGUAGGCAUGCUCGCCAAGUCCGUGGGUUUGUUUGCAAACGUUUGGUCAUCCUACUAGGUAACAUCGUCAGUGCGCCUCCGAUGAAGCAUCAGUGUUCUGUCCCACUUAUUAUUUAUAUGCCUCAGCUUGCUGAGGUGAUUGGCAUUACUUCCGGUUCAGUUUCUCAGUGGAUUGAACACAGGGUCUAAUUCAAUGCGUUUGUUGAUGGAGUUCCGUUUGGAAUACCAGGCCUCCAGGAAUUCCCUGGUGUGUUUCUGUUUGGCUUGAGCAGCUGAAAAGGGUGGGCUUUAGUCAGCUGGACUGAGGAUAAAAUACAGCUCAUGGCAAUUGGGGAUGAUACCCCCAUUUCAAAUACACGUGAGGAAGGACAUAUUUUAAAAUCUCAGCCGAAAAAGCAAUUCUGAAUGAAUAUUUCCAGCUGAUCUCAGCCCAUUUCUGAAGCAAAGGUCCUGUACAUCAGCUCAGGGUGAAAUCUACUUGUUCUUUUGAAAAAUGAUUGAAAGAACACCUCAGGUUUGCAUUUCCUGAGCAUCAGCACAACACAUUCCAAACUGAUCUAUACUUAAUCCUUUUCCCUUCAAAAUAAGCCAUUGGCCAAAGAGCUUUUUCAGAAAACAAACCUCUGCCAAGAGAUGUGAUUUUAUUUUCUCUCUUCACCUGAAGAGUUAUCUGUGUUUGAGUAUUGUUUGCAGGUAGGUUUUGGAAAUAAUUACAGGGAUCAGCACUUAUGCUUCAAUAUGACUAUGUGUAUAAAUCAAUGAUUACAUGAGAAUUGAAUAAAUUUUGUUUUGAUAAUAAAUUGAUUAUUGUGCCCA